AUGUCUGGCGCAGGAGAGGCCCAGCGUCCAGGCUCCCUUGGGGACCAGGAUUCCAGUCCCCGGCCCGCUCCUCCCUCAGACCUGGGCGUCCGCGACCCGGCCCCUCCCGCAGAAUUCCAGCGUCCGAACCCCAGCCCCCUUUUCUUAGCCCCGGACCCUGGAGUCUGGGCCUCCAGCCUCUUCUUCCCUCAGCCCUUGGCGGGGAGGAAGGGGGGGCCGGGUCCACAUUCCAGCCCCCUGGUUCUCCACGAAAUCCCAGAGUUCGGGCCCCCAGACCCUUUCUCUCCCGAACCCAGGCGUCCCCACCUCCUCUUCUUUGGCCCCAGCUGGAGACCAGCCCUCUGGGGGUUAAGGGGGCGGGGCCACUGGUUGCCAUGGUGCCAGACUGUUUGGGUCUGCUCUCUGACCCUUGGGGGCUCCCCAGGGUCUGCGGAGAGGGGGAGGGGGGCCCAGACCUGGGCGAAGUCCUGCGCCAACCCUUUCCCCGGGUCGGGCCUGCGGGCCCGGGGAGUCCGCGUCUCCACCGAGGUCCGGUGCGGUGACCUCAAGCGGGUCCUGACCCCCGCCCCCCCGCCCUCCGCUCUCUGCGGGCCUCAGUUUCCCCAGGAGAGACGUGCCGGAGCCGCGGGGCGAUGCUGCGGCCCCGCGAACCCUGAGGACGCUCGGCUUCCCUCGGCUCGCACCCCCUCCCCAGGCCCCCGGCAGCCCCGGGGCAUGCUGGGAGCCCGGGCCUGGGCUCCGGGCCAGGUUGGGGGGGCCGGGGGGGCGGGGGCCGCCUCCUCCCUUCCCCUUCCUCCCCACCUUGGCCCGGCUCGCGCCCCCGCCGGAGGGUCGGGGAGGCCGGGAAGGAGGGAAGCGGGAUGCGAGCGGGGUCCGCGGACCCGUCCCUGGGCCCCCCCCUCCGCCCUUCCCCCCGGCCUCCCCCGCCCCUCCGCGCCUCCCCGCCUCCCCAGCAGGUCGCUACCCCGGCCCUGGGCCCCUGCGCGAACCACCCCCACCCCACCCCCAGCUCCAGACCUGGCUCCGAGCUGCGGCGAGGGGGAGGGAGAGAAGGAAGGAGAAAGGGGGGGGGGGGGAGGGAGGCGAGAGACCCGAGAGGGAGAGAAGGAGAAAGAGAGAGAGAGGCAAGGAGGGAGACGGAGGGGGAGAAGGAGGCCGGGAGAUGGAGAGAAGAGGGAGGGAGGCAGGCAGGGGGGAAAAGGUGGGGGUGGGGGGUGGGGAGGAGAGUGA
rnacentral:lncRNA from 1 species